GGCCGGCCCGUCGCCGCGGGCCGCCGGACGAGGUGCGCCGUACCCGGCCCGACAAGACGACGCUCC
rnacentral:ncRNA from 1 species